UACGUAGGGUGCGAGCGUUGUCCGGAAUUAUUGGGCGUAAAGAGCUCGUAGGCGGUCUGUCGCGUCGGUCGUGAAAACUUGGGGCUUAACCCUGAGCUUGCGGUCGAUACGGGCAUGACUGGAGUUCGGCAGGGGAGACUGGAAUUCCUGGUGUAGCGGUGAAAUGCGCAGAUAUCAGGAGGAACACCGGUGGCGAAGGCGGAUCUCUGGGCCGAUACUGACGCUGAGGAGCGAAAGCGUGGGGAGCGAACAGG
rnacentral:rRNA from 1 species